rnacentral:lncRNA from 1 species
GUUGAAAGACUCGAAAACACAGUAAGCAUGGAAAACAAUAUGACUGAAAAUGAUUGAUAACUAAAGAAAAUCAAACAUCAAUACUGUAAUGUGCGCAGAAGAAAGGACCAGAAAAUGAGAGAAAUCCAAGAUGAUGAACUACAGUGAAAACUUUCCAAGCCCAGGGUUAUAUAGGCAAAAAAUCCCAUUAUGAGGUGGCUAGGAGGACACAAUAGAUGACAGAAUCUAGAAUGUUUGUUGUCGUCUGAUCUCAUCCACUCUCUUCCUUGGCUUCGUACUGAUAAUGAGAGAAAUCCAGACCAAAGGAUUGGGUCACCCACUGCCAGAGUUUCCAGAUGAGCAAGCUGUCGACUGUGAAAGAUCAGCUUGCUGUGGUCUCUGGCUUUUUGCUUGCUGUGCAUGAAGAUGUCACUGCACAAGGCUUCGCCCGGAGUCUUUCUGGACGCAUUCAAAGACUCCUCUCCUCCCUUCUCCAGGCCUUCUGCCAGCUUCUUUGGCCCCACCACAAGAUCUCGGAGAGCCUCCUUUUCUUCCCGUUGCCUUCACAAUGCCAGCUAUACUUUGCAUACAGGAGUGCGAAGAUCAAGUCGAACAAAUCCUUCCUCCCCAACAAGUUGCCAAAAAUCAUUAAGGAUGAAAGCAAUCAAACAAAAUCAUAUUUCCAAUAGAGUUUGCUAUGUUAUAAGAAUUGCAGAGAAAUCCAACUGUUGGUUUUAUCAGCAAAUCAUAUGGCUGGUAGGGGUGCAGUGGAAAUACCUUGUAUUUUUGCCUGGAGAAGUACCUGGUAUCAUAGCUUCAACAUAACUGAAGCUAAAAUUGGGGGAACCAGAGCGGGAAAAGGUGAAUUCACAGAGUGCAGCUCCAAGCUGACUGGAUUAACGAGAAGGAAGGUAGGCGAGCAGGUGGUUGAUUUCAAAAGCAUAGUUAACAAAUC